GAGAUAAUAUUCACGAUCUUAUAAUGUUAUUCAUCAAACUUAUUGGUUUAAUUAUAAUCAUCAUACUUAUUAGUUGCAAUUUAGUAUUACUUGAUGGUUUUUCUUUGAUUCUUUGUUCGUGUUAUAAUGCUAAUCAUCAAUCGGAUUGGUAGAAUUUUACAUUAUUUUGUUGCAGGCUAAUCCGGAUCUUCACUUCACUGUGGCUCACUUCUACCUCCUUCUUCUAAUGAAAAAUCAAAAAAAAUAAGAGAUCAUCAUUCAACGCGUUCGAUUGGACCCGUUCGAUUGGACCCGCUCGAUUGGACCCGGAAACGUCUCUCCUCUCAUCCAGACUUUAAUUGGUUGAGGUCUAAAUCGUGUCGACAAUUUGAGGUGCCCGAUCGUUUGUUCAUGUCUGGAUUCGAUAAUCAGGAUGGAGGAUAUUCAUUCUGGAACGGAUAAAACAACAGAUACAAGAUG
rnacentral:lncRNA from 1 species